CCAGGUUUGAAUCCAGACAGGAUUCACAUGGUCUCCUGACUCCAAAGACAGUGCUGUUGGGACUGUCUGGGGCUCCUCAUCUGUCCAACCCAGGAACUGCUUACCAUGCCAAUCAGGAAGAGGGAAGCCAGGGAGGAGUUGGGGAGGACGGCAAAGGCCUGGACAUCCACGGCAGGGUAGAAGGUGAUAACACAGCCUGCAUCGCGAAUCCAGGAGAAAAGGAUGGUCUUCCCAGGAAAUGGUGCCAGAAUAACUCGCUAUUCAUAUGGAAGAAAAUGAAAAUGAUUCCGUAUGUCAUCCCACACAUUAAAAAUCCAUUCCAGAUGGAUUAAGGAUUUAAAUAUAAAUGGGAUGCCCGGAAGAAGCCUUGCAUCUGGAUAUCAGCCACAGACACGGAGAUACUCAAAGAAGCAUUGUGCACCUGGAGAGAAACCAGAUCGCCAUUAACAAUCGAACAUAGAAACAUUGGCUGGGGGCGGUGGCUCACGCCUGUAAUUCCAGCACUUUGGGAAGCCGAGGCCGGGCGGAUCACUUGAAGUCAGGAGUUCAAGAUCAGCCUGGCCAACAUGGUGAAACCCUGUCUCUACUAAAAAUACAAAAAUUAGCUGGGUUUGGUGGCUCACACCUAUAAUCCCAGAUAGUCAGGAGGCUGAGGCAGAAGAAUCGCAUGAACCCAGGAGGUGGAGGUUGCAGUGAGCUGAGAUUGCGCCACUGCACUCCAGCCUGGGUGACAGAGCAAGACUCUGUCUCAAAAAAGAAAAUAGAAGCGUUGUAACAUGAAGAUGAUCAUAUGCUAUACAGCAGCC
rnacentral:lncRNA from 1 species